rnacentral:rRNA from 1 species
AGUGAACGCCGGCGGUAGGCCUAACACAUGCAAGUCGAACGGCAGCACAGUAAGAGCUUGCUCUUACGGGUGGCGAGUGGCGGACGGGUGAGGAAUACAUCGGAAUCUACUUUUUCGUGGGGGAUAACGUAGGAAAACUUACGCUAAUACCGCAUACGACCUACGGGUGAAAGCAGGGGAUCUUCGGACCUUGCGCGAUUGAAUGAGCCGAUGUCGGAUUAGCUAGUUGGCGGGGUAAAGGCCCACCAAGGCGACGAUCCGUAGCUGGUCUGAGAGGAUGAUCAGCCACACUGGAACUGAGACUCGGUCCAGACUCCUACGGGAGGCAGCAGUGGGGAAUAUUGGACAAUGGGCGCAAGCCUGAUCCAGCCAUACCGCGUGGGUGAAGAAGGCCUUCGGGUUGUAAAGCCCUUUUGUUGGGAAAGAAAAGCAGCAGGUUAAUACCCCGCUGUUCUGACGGUACCCAAAGAAUAAGCACCGGCUAACUUCGUG